AUAUUAACAGUAGAUACUAUGAUUAAGAAGGUGGUUCAUGCAAAGCGAGCCUCUGUGAUUGCACUGCAUCUAUACUGACCCCUGUAAAUUACCCAAAUUCUUGAAUUUUGACUGCAUAAUUUCUGGUAGUGGUAGACUAUUCUCAGUCUCCCC
rnacentral:snRNA from 1 species